AAGAAUUUACUUUAUUUAACACAUUAUGCAAAUUGAAUCGUCCGUUUCACCACCCGAUUCAAGCACGCUCUCCUCCCUCGCAGCGGCCAGCAUCGUCCUUUCUCCGGCAAGUAAAUGUUUCUUUUUCGUAAAAUUAUUACUAUAUACCUUACAUCACCCUCUCCAAAAAAAGGGGUUGCUGGGGAAUUCCAAAGGGGCCUCAGCAACACCAACAACGGCCGCUCCAUCAUAACCACCUCGGGGCAAUAUCGUCCCCACCAGAACUGUAGAACUAUAACUUUAUUCAUCUGAGGAGCAUGUAAGGGAUUCUUCUUUACCAAGUCGCCUUGGACUUGAAUAUGUCUGCCGGUACAUAGCUGCGAGAUCGGGAGGCUCCACAACACUAACAGGAACAGUGAAUCUUCGUCGUUUUGACGCAGAUCGUUGACCAGAAGAUGGAAACACAUAAGAAGUAGUAGGAGCUGGUGGAGGCACCGGGGUCCCUGUUCGGGCACCAUGUGACGUGCUCGGGCCCUUGGCCGCGAACCCGCCUUGAGUUUGACCCCGGUCCCCGACACUAG
rnacentral:lncRNA from 1 species